rnacentral:rRNA from 1 species
AGUGAAGCGGUAACAGCUCAAAUUUGAAAGCUAGCUCUUUUAGGGUUCGCAUUGUAAUUUGUAGAAGAUGCUUCGGGUGUGGCCCCGGUCUAAGUUCCUUGGAACAGGACGUCAUAGAGGGUGAGAAUCCCGUAUGUGACUGGGUGCUUUCGCUCAUGUGAAGCUCUUUCGACGAGUCGAGUUGUUUGGGAAUGCAGCUCAAAAUGGGUGGUAAAUUUCAUCUAAAGCUAAAUAUUGGCCAGAGACCGAUAGCGCACAAGUAGAGUGAUCGAAAGAUGAAAAGCACUUUGGAAAGAGAGUUAAACAGUACGUGAAAUUGUUGAAAGGGAAGCGCUUGCAACCAGACUUGCGCGCUGAUGAUCAUCUGGGCUUCUGCCCGGUGCACUCGUCUGCGCUCAGGCCAGCAUCGGUUUUGGUGGUGGGAUAAAGGCCUUGGGAAUGUAGCUUCUUUCGGGGAGUGUUAUAGCCCUCGGUGCAAUGCCGCCUACCGGGACCGAGGACCGCGCUUCGGCUAGGAUGCUGGCGUAAUGGUUGUAAGCGACCCGUCUUGAAACACGGACCAAGGAGUCUAACAUCUAUGCGAGUGUUUGGGUGUCAAACCCAUACGCGUAAUGAAAGUGAACGGAGGUGAGAACCCUUAAGGGUGCAUCAUCGACCGAUCCUGAUGUCUUCGGAUGGAUUUGAGUAAGAGCAUAGCUGUUGGGACCCGAAAGAUGGUGAACUAUGCGUGAAUAGGGUGAAGCCAGAGGAAACUCUGGUGGAGGCUCGCAGCGGUUCUGACGUGCAAAUCGAUCGUCAAAUUUGCGUAUAGGGGCGAAAGACUAAUCGAA